UACAGAGACUGCAAGCGUUAUUCGGAUUCACUGGGCGUAAAGGGUGCGCAGGCGGCCAAGUGUGUGAGGCGUGAAAGCCCGGGGCUUAACCCCGGAAUUGCACCUCAAACUACAUGGCUAGAGCAUUGGGGAGGGUAGCAGAAUUCAUGGUGUAGCAGUGAAAUGCGUAGAUAUCAUGAGGAAUACCAGAGGCGAAGGCGGCUACCUGGACAAUUGCUGACGCUCAGGCACGAAAGCGUGGGGAGCAAACAGG
rnacentral:rRNA from 1 species